rnacentral:rRNA from 1 species
AAAUUAUCCAGCAGCACCUUCCAGUACAGCUACCUUGUUACGACUUCACCCCAGUUAUUUAUUAUUAUUUAUCCUUUUAUCAAAAGUUUUAAAAAAUAAUCAAUUUCCGUGGCGUGACGGGCGGUGUGUACAAGGCUCGAAGACUUAUUCACCGCCGUAAUGCUGACCGGCGAUUACUAGCGAUUCCAACUUUACAUAAACAAAUUGCAGUUUAUGUUCCGAACUAAAAAUGGUUUUCAAUUAUUACAUUUAUUUUCACAAAUAAAUUAAAAAUAAAUUGAUAUUGUAUUUAUUUUUAAAAAUUAUUGUACCAUCUAUUGUAGCACGUAUGUAGCCCAGAACAUAAAGGGCAUAAAGACUUGACGUUUUCCUCUCCUUCCUACUAAUUUAGUACAAAAAUUUAUAUAGUCUGUUUUUAAAGAUAUAAAAAACUUUAAAUAAGGGUAGCGCUCGUAG